UUAUUUCUUGUUACUUUAUUUAAACGAGAAGCCAAAUAUUGUGCAGUUUUCAGUUACCUUGAUUAUUUUUAAAGAAAGUGCAUAUUUUGACUCACUCAUCAAUUUGACGGUUGCCGUAGGGAUAAGCUUUGUAAAAACGUUCAUGAACCUAGUGAUAAAAACUUCGGCAGAUUUCGAGGCUACUAAUUAGCAACAAUAACAACCACGUUUACUAAAGCUUUUCAAUACAAAUGAAACUAGUUAUAGCUACACAUUAAAAUAAGUUCAUGAUAGACAGAGAUCGAACUAUUUUGAAUAGAGACGUCAAAGUUUAAUCCGCCAACAAAACUCAACCAAAAUUCGACAGCAAGUUGGCUCGAAUCUGAGUAUUCUGGAAGAGAGCCUUAAUUAGAUUCCGUAACUCUUCGGUUCUGAAGUGGACCGCCAAGGGACCGGUACCAUCCUUCCAGUGGUUGUCGAUAUCCUUCAGAGACCCUCCAAGGACAAAGAUUAGCUCCUGCAGCUUUAUCCAGGAUUUGACGUGAGUUUCUAUAUCUGUUGAACUCU